GGUCUUAUAGCUCAGUUGGUAGAGCACUACCUCGACAAGGUAGUGGUCACAGGUUCGAGUCCUGUUGGGACCACCA
rnacentral:tRNA from 11 species